rnacentral:lncRNA from 1 species
UCCAUUACAUUUUAUUUGAAGUUUGAUAUUGCACCUCUUACAUGUGCUUGUCUUUUUAGAAACUAAUCUCAUUUGAGAGAUGACUCUCUUUGAACCCACAUAGGUUUCUUUAGAUGCCUAUUCUUUUUGAAUCAAUGUAGCCUCAAUUGUAUUGUCUAAAUUUUAUUAUUAGAAUCACAUAUUCAUUUCACUUAAUUCACAUUUUAAAAGUCUUUGAUUAUGGAAUCAUCGCUGUUUUUUUAGGCAGAAAUACUUUCUAGUCAAGGGUUCUACCACUCAGCUACAUCCCCAGCCCAGGCAGAUCUACUUUCUUAGCCCAAGGAAUAUUCCCUAACAAUGCCCAGGAACUCAGUUGUCACAGUUCCUUUUCCCCAAGGUUUUCUUUCUACCCCAUCAAACAGUUUUAAAAUUUUUGAUCAGAAUUAACCUGAGUAACAGUUUCCCUCACUGCUUUCCCAACUUCUAAGAGUUGUGUAUGUAUUAAUGAAAUGGUGUGUAUGUACUAAUGAAAAAUCUAUCACUUUCCUAGGUACUUAGGUAGGUUUUUAUACCAAAAAUUCAGUAUUAUUGGAAACAUUCAAACUGAGUUAUUAGUGAAUUAUAAAUCGAUGUGAAUUGUAGUCAGCACUAUGAAAUGAAUAGAAGAGAAAUAACAUAAUAGAAAAAUGGCUGAGUACCCUGAAAACUAAUAGAAAUAAAUAUUUUAUGAAUUUUUUCAGUUUUAUGUAUGUGUAGUAUUGUGUGUCCUUGUAUGAUAUAAAAUUUAUGUCAUGGUGUGGAUCAUGGACUAAAAACUUUGAAAACUGCCAUUUUUAGAUGAUGACACCUUAUUUAUAUUAUCAUGAUUAAAAAGUAUAGAAUAUUGGGCUGGAGAUGUGGCUUAAGCGGUAGUGCGCUGGCCUGGCAUGCGCGGGGCGCUGGGUUCGAUCCUCAGCACCACAUAAAAAUAAAAUAAAGAUGUUGUGUCCACUGAAAACUGAAAAAUAAAUAUUAAAAAAUUCUCUCUCUCUCUCUUCUCUCUCUCUCUAAAAAAAGUAUAGAAUAUAAUUUUUAGAUUAAAUCAUGUUUAAGAGCUGGGAAUGUAACUCAGUGGUAUAGCACUAGCAUAUAAAAGAGGGCCUUUGUUCAAUCCCAAAAUAAAAUAAAUUAAAUAAAUAAAUCAUGUUUUUAUGUGUGUGUGUACGUAUUAUAUUAAAAUUAUGUGCAAAACAGAUAAAAUUAUUUUGUUGAUUUUUAGCACUUCAUCUGUUAAUAGAAGGUAGUUUAAGUAUUGAGCAGC